CAGCUGGAGCAUACUUGGUACAUGAGCCUUGCCGUGAGUGGUGGUGCAACGGUGACCUUGACGAGCAGGGCAAUGGCCAGACACGAGUAAGACACCAAAGAUGACUGGAAGCACUCAAAAAAGUUUACCACGCUGGAGCUAUGUCAGGUACCUACUGUUCUUUUGUGUUGUGUGUUUUCUAUUUCCCGUCAGAAACUCAUUCCAUAAUCAAUUUGCAGGUUGUACGAGGGCAGUUAAUGAAUAUACUUGCGACCCUUUUACUCUCAGGUAAAUCACUAAUUAUUACAUGAUCUUUCAUAGUUGAAGUACCUACCAAAGGUAGUUAUUUUAUCCUUCUAACACGAGCAAUGAACAUUUUUUGCCAUUAAUUAUGGUCACAUUAUUGCUUCUUGGUUAAAAAAAUUCAGUAGAGGGUUGUAGCUAUUUGGAGUGCAGAAUUAUUAAGUACAGAGCAAGGAUUCCAAUUGGUCAUACAUGAAGUGAUACUCUUGCAAGAGCUAUGCAAUUAAAGUUCAUUUAAUUACAGUUUCACCACACUAUGAAAAGGGUACAACCUACCAAUCUUGAGAGCAUUAAUGUAACAACUUUUUGUAGCUUAGAAAUCCAAUGGAAACUAAUAAGGUAAAUAUGCUUCUUUCUUGCAGACUUGCAGUUCUGUUU
rnacentral:lncRNA from 1 species